CCUGCCCACUGAUAAUAUUAGUUUAAUGGCCGCGGUAUUAAUAACUGUGCAAAGGUAGCAUAAUCAUUAGUUUUUUAAUUGAGGACUUGUAUGAAUGGUUGGACAAAAGGAAAACUGUCUUCUUUAAUAAAAAUUGAAUUUAACUUUUAAGUGAAAAGGCUUAAAUAUUUCAAAGGGACGAUAAGACCCUAUAAAGCUUUUAUAAAGAAUAGAAUUUAAAUUGAGGUGUUUUAUUAAAAAUUAAGGUUUAUAUUUUAUUAAGUUGGGGUAAUUAAGGUAUAAUUAUAAAUAACUGUUUUUUAUAUAAACAAAUAUAUUUGUUUAAAAAUUAGAUGAUCCUUAUUUUUUAAAGAUUUAAAGAUUAAGUUACUUUAGGGAUAACAGCGUUAUUUUUUUUGAGAGUUCUUAUCGAAAAAAGAGUUUGCGACCUCGAUGUUGAAUUAAAAUUUCUAUAUAGUGCAGUUAUUAUAUAAGAAGGUCUGUUCGACCUUUAAUUUUUUACGUGAUCUGAGAU
rnacentral:rRNA from 1 species